GCACCCCGAUGAUGCCAGCACUGGGCUCUGAACCCCCGUGAGGACAGACCACGUGCCCCCUGGCCUCCAGGGCUCUGAGGGGUCC